UAUAUAUAUAUAUUAUGGCAUGCCGUGUAGGAAAUUAUUCAUGAGAGAAUUGAGUGACAAACUCGAAAUAUAUUGAUUGAAAAACUCCAGCCUGCUAUGUCCAUCUAACGGGUACAAGUAAUGCUAUUGAAGGAAACAUCCCUCACAGUCCUCAGGGGCCGUGUGUAUCAUCCCCUGUCUACAAUCUGUGUCCGUUCACUUGGAAGGGCCCAAGAAAGAAGAGUGAGCAUCCUUUAAAUGCUGAGUAAAGGCAGAAUUUGCCCGGACUUGUUUUGCUGCCAGAGCGGGACAACUAGGAGCAGGAGAAACAGGAGAAUCAACGCUAUAUAGACAAAUGUCUCAUCCAGCCAAACUUCGGAUCAUUCUUCAGGAUCAUGGCAUUCGUAAACUUGACUUGCCUUAUGGAAUCCCUGAGACUGUGGGUGAACUUGAGUCUAUUGUGAGAGAGACAUUUGGGCUUGAUGGGAACUUCACUUUCCAUUAUAAGGAUGCUGAUUUUGGAGAGGAAUAUUUUUCUCUUAGCUCAACAAGAGACAUCAAGGACAAGGUCACAAUUAAGGUGGUUCACAUUGUUGAACCUCCCACACUUUGUUGACCUUUUCCGAUGUAGACAGUUCCAUUGAAAGUGCAUCAGACGCCUCCAUCCAUUCCUCAGCAUCCUCGGCCCAUACUUCAGUGACCUCCAUCCAUCCUUCUAGCAGUUGCUCUUCUGGGUCACAGGAUACACUGAUUCUUUCAUCACCUGAAAACAAGACACAUUCGCAGCGGUCGCCAACUGAAUUUCCAGUACCUCGCUUUGCCUAUGACACAGAACUUGUGCUUGCCUCUGGAAAUGAAGCUUUCAAGAUGGAUGGAAUUCAACUCAACUUUACCACAAUCCUUCCAGACAUCCUUGAGAAACUGGCUGAAAGCAUCUUUCAGUAUGUUGCCUACCCAUCAAGUGCACAGUUGUCUGUUGUUGCUGAGGCACUGAUUAAGAAGCAUCCCUGCCUUAAAGAACCAGGUUCAUAUAAUGGAUGCUACGGAUGACAACAAAGACUAAAAUAUACAAUGGGAAACUAUAGAUCAAAACUCAGAGGUCUUGGAUGCCCUGAGUUUGAUGUGAACUCUCUCAAAAUGAAGCGAGACCAUGAUAAAGCACCUACAAAAAAUAUCAAAAAGCCCAGAAGGGCAGAGGUGAACUAUUUACCCCCUCACCCUCAAGGAGAAACUGAAGGAAGUUUGGAACAUGAAAGAGUGGAGCUCCUUAAUGAAGUAAAAAGGAACAACUCCCAGAUCAUCAGUGCAAAAAUGGCAGAGACAUUCUCAUUUCGCAGGCAGGAAGUUGUCAAUCAAGCACCACUAGUCAGUGACCUAAAAGACAGAUGGCCUGCUCUUUUUGAUGCAGCUCAGAUAAAUGAAGAAUUCAGAAGGAUCACCACUGUUAACCUGGAGACAACGUUCAUGGCAAAACUGGACGAGUACUCCCCAAAAAUAAUGUCCUUGGUGUCCUCAAAAGGAGGGGCUGCAAAAAUGAAUAUUCAGUGCUUAAAGAACAUGCUGCUAGAGGAUGAUUCUGUGGAAAGGAGAAGAAAGACUGCUAUACGUUCUUUAAUAAUAUAUCAUGGAGAAAAGGAGGAAGAUCUCUAUAAAGAGAUCACUCAGAUACACUGUACUUUGUAUUACUCCUUUUUAAAUAUGACUUAAAACACUGACAUUGAUUCUGACCUACUUAGGAUGAUGUGGCUAAUUAUGUAAUGAAGAUUGGCAUAGCUAGAGGUGCCACAAAGUUUGACCCAGCCAUGACCAGUAUCGUUAUUGAGGGAACGGAAGUCCUGCAAGACCUGGAUGUAUCCAGAGCCUGUGCCCUGCUAAUGGGGCUGAUAUAUGCUCUAAACCUCAGCUACCCAAAGGAACUAAAGUAUACUUUUGAGGUGUUCCAGAAGAUAAUUCUUGAGCUGGAUGGGCUGAAAGCUAGCCCGAAGGUGUCCUGCAAUCUCACAAAAAAGGUGGUUCUGCCAGACCGUACACAUUAAGUCUGCUUUGGAACUUAGCCACAACUGGAACUCUACCACUGGGAAUCUACUCUAGUAAUGCAGGCAAUAUCUGAGGCAUUCCAGCCGAUUGUUGGUGCAUGCAGGUUAUAGAUUUUGUUACCUUGCCAUAACAAACUGGUUGAGCCAUCCCUUAGCUCCAAACAGACCCUGUAUGGAGCACUUGUGAAAAAACACUUUCAUCAGAAGUCCAUUUAUGUCAGACCAGACAAGGUGCUGUUAACAGAGGAAGAAGAGCUUUCAACUCAAGAUGGAGACAGUCAACAUACAAACAGCAGUGAACCCCAAGAAGUAUCAGAUGACAUAAAUGAUGCCACACAGUGGUGAUCAAAUUAUCUGGUGUGCAGCCACCCAAGCUGUUUUUACAGAUGCACCUAUCAUCUCAAAAGACAACAAUGCAAUGUCUAGUUGUGCUGCUGUCAUCACCAUUGAUGGUAUUCACACCGUGCCCAGUCAAGCUUCUGUCAUCUCCAGUGGUAACACAGAUGAUUUUCCCAUUGUAUCAUCUGCCAUCAACAGUAAUCCCACUAAUGGUUUGUCCUGUGGCACCAAUUUAAAUUCAAGUGAUGACAAACGUGACUGUCCUUCUACUAACACCUCCGCCGUAAACAGUGAUCAUUCCCCUCCCAUUUCUGGUGCUAUAGCCUCAACUGUCUCCAGUGCAUCCAGCAAUAAUGUAACCCCUUACAGUACUUAUCUGGACCUAUUUGAGGAAGAAUAUUUCUCUGAUGAUCCUGAUCUCCAGGAUUUCAAGAUCUUUGACUGCUAGAACCAAUGAGAGUGAAUCAACGAUAAGUCUGAAGGGAAUAAUGGAGCAGAUCGCUUCGAGAAUAAAUAAUGAUGAAACUGUGCGCUUUAACAUAAUAAGAAGGAAUGUGUGGGAUGGAGCUGCCAGAGCCAUGGGCCGUUCCAAUUUUGCACCAAAAAAGAAGAUGGAUAUAAAAUUCACAGAUGAUUACGGAAUAUCUGAGGGUGCCGCUGACAAUGGAGGGCCUACCCGAGAGUUCUUCAGGUUGUGUCUUUAUGAAAUCAAGGACAGUAUUGGAAUCUUUGAGGGUCCACCUAAUGCUAAAGUUUUUUUUAUAAUGUAUUUUUUUAAAUGUUUUUUUUAUGUAUUGUACUGAAAUUGACUAGGUCACUGAUAUAUUUGUAUUUACAUUUGGGAUAAAUAAGGACAAUAGUAUACUUUUUGUUUUUAUUUUUAGAUUAUAUAUUUGUUUAAUAUUUUUAGCUGUGAGAUUUGGCAAAAAAAGUGAUCUUGUAACCUUGGGAAAAUGUAAGCACUUUAAUCUAGUGUUAUUAAAAAGCAUUUUAUGUCAUUAAAGUCAUUUUAUAUAAAUAUUUUUCUCCUUUAAAUUGGGUUCUCUAUGUUAACAUGAAAGCCAGCUGUACUAUCGUUAGUCUCACUUGGAUAAUUGGUCAUAAUUCAUUCAAUCAU